UACGUAGGUGGCAAGCGUUGUUCGGAAUAACUGGGCGUAAAGGAUGCGUAGGCGGUUAAACAAGUUAUAUGUUAAAUAUAUAGGCUUAACCUGUAGAAAGCAUAUAAAACUGUUUAACUAGAGUGCAGGAGAGGAGAGUGGAAUUCCAUGUGUAGCGGUGAAAUGCGUAGAUAUAUGGAGGAACACCGGUGGCGAAAGCGGCUCUCUGGCCUGUAACUGACACUGAGGCUCGAAAGCGUGGGGAGCAAACAGG
rnacentral:rRNA from 1 species